rnacentral:rRNA from 1 species
GACAGAGGAUGCAAGCGUUAUCCGGAAUGAUUGGGCGUAAAGCGUCUGUAGGUGGCUUUUCAAGUCCGCCGUCAAAUCCCAGGGCUCAACCCUGGACAGGCGGUGGAAACUGCCAAGCUGGAGUACGGUAGGGGCAGAGGGAAUUUCCGGUGGAGCGGUGAAAUGCGUAGAGAUCGGAAAGAACACCAACGGCGAAGGCAGCUCUCUGGGGCGGUACUGACGCUGAGACGCGAAAGCGUGGGGAGCAAACAGG